rnacentral:rRNA from 1 species
GACGAACGCUGGCGGCAGGCCUAACACAUGCAAGUCGAACGAAGUCUUCGGACUUAGUGGCGGACGGGUGAGUAACACGUGGGAACGUGCCCUUUGGUACGGAAUAACUCAGGGAAACUUGAGCUAAUACCGUAUGUGCCCUUCGGGGGAAAGAUUUAUCGCCAUUGGAGCGGCCCGCGUCUGAUUAGCUAGUUGGUGAGGUAAAGGCUCACCAAGGCGACGAUCAGCAGCUGGUCUGAGAGGAUGAUCAGCCACAUUGGGACUGAGACACGGCCCAAACUCCUACGGGAGGUAGCAGUGGGGAAUCUUGCGCAAUGGGCGAAAGCCUGACGCAGCCAUGCCGCGUGAAUGAUGAAGGUCUUAGGAUUGUAAAAUUCUUUCACCGGGGACGAUAAUGACGGUACCCGGACAAGAAGCCCCGGCUAACUUCGUGCCAGCAGCCGCGGUAAUAC